rnacentral:rRNA from 1 species
AGCACAGAGGAGCUUGCUCCUUGGGUGGCGAGUGGCGGACGGGUGAGGAAUACAUCGGAAUCUGCCUUAUCGUGGGGGAUAACGUAGGGAAACUUACGCUAAUACCGCAUACGACCUACGGGUGAAAGCGGAGGACCGCAAGGCUUCGCGCGAUAAGAUGAGCCGAUGUCGGAUUAGCUAGUUGGCGGGGUAAUGGCCCACCAAGGCGACGAUCCGUAGCUGGUCUGAGAGGAUGAUCAGCCACACUGGAACUGAGACACGGUCCAGACUCCUACGGGAGGCAGCAGUGGGGAAUAUUGGACAAUGGGCGCAAGCCUGAUCCAGCCAUGCCGCGUGUGUGAAGAAGGCCUUCGGGUUGUAAAGCACUUUUGUCCGGAAAGAAAAGCUUCGGGUUAAUACCCCGGGGUCCUGACGGUACCGGAAGAAUAAGCACCGGCUAACUUCGUGCCAGCAGCCGCGGUAAUACGAAGGGUGCAAGCGUUACUCGGAAUUACUGGGCGUAAAGCGUGCGUAGGUGGUUUGUUAAGUCUGAUGUGAAAGCCCUGGGCUCAACCUGGGAAUUGCAUUGGAUACUGGCAAGCUAGAGUGCGGUAGAGGAUGGCGGAAUUCCCGGUGUAGCAGUGAAAUGCGUAGAGAUCGGGAGGAACAUCUGUGGCGAAGGCGGCCAUCUGGACCAGCACUGACACUGAGGCACGAAAGC